AUCUUGGACAAUGGGGGCAACCCUGAUCCAGCCAUGCCGCGUGUGUGAAGAAGGUCUUCGGAUAGUAAAGCACUUUAAGAUGGGAGGAAGGGCUUUAGGUUAAUACCCUGAAGUUUUGACGUUACCAAUAGAAUAAGCACCGGCUAACUCUGUGUCAGAAGCCGCGGUAAUACAGAGGGUGCAAGCGUUAAUCGGAAUUACUGGGCGUAAAGCGCGCGUAGGUGGUUCAGUAAGAUGGAUGUGAAAGCCCCGGGCUUAACCUGGGAACUGCUUUCAUAACUACUGAGCUAGAGUACGGUAGAGGGUAGUGGAAUUUCCUGUGUAGCGGUGAAAUGCGUAGAUAUAGGAAGGAACACCAGUGGCGAAGGCGACUACCUGGACUGAUACUGACACUGAGGUGCGAAAGCGUGGGGAGCAAAC
rnacentral:rRNA from 1 species